GAUGAACGCUGGCGGCGUGCUUAACACAUGCCAGUCGAACGGAAAGGCCCUGCUUUUGUGGGUUGCUCGAGUGGCGAACGGGUGAGUAACACGUGAGUAACCUGUCCUUGACUUUGGGAUAACUUCAGGAAACUGGGGCUAAUACCCGAUAGGAGCUCCUGCUGCAUGGUGGGCGUUGGAAAGUUUCGGCGGUUGGGGAUGGACUCGAGGCUUAUCAGCUUGUUGGUGGGGUAGUUGCUUACAAAGUCUUUGACGGGUAGGCGGCCUGAGAGCGUGGACGGGCACAAGAGGACUGAGAGAGGGCGCAGUCGGGUACGGGAGGCAACGGUGGAGAAUAUUGCAGAGUGGGCGGGAGCCUGAGACAACAGUGUCGCGUGCGUAAUGACGGGCUACGGGUGAUGAACCGCUUUCGCCUGAGACGAAGCGUGAGUGACGGUAAUGGGUAAAGAAGCACCGGCUAACUACGUG
rnacentral:rRNA from 1 species